rnacentral:tRNA from 1 species
AUCAGCAUAGUUUAACAAAAACAUUAGGCUGUGGCCCUAAAGACAGAAGAUAAAAUCUUCUUGCAGAUC